GGAGAGUCAGGACAAUAAAGGGUCUAUAUUGAGCGGGCAGCUUGGGAUUUCAGGGGCUCUGACUGUAUAAGAGUUACACAUGGAAAUUGCAUCCAUAAUUCCUGGGAAGACAAUCUGAAGACCCUUCUCAUGAAGUAGACGAAGAGCUGCCUCACUCUGUCUAGGAAAGCAGGUCUCUGCAAGGCUCCCCACCGACCCAGCCUCCUCCAGGGCAUGGGACUCCAGGACAAAAAGCCGAUAUCUACUGCCCUGGGAGAAGCAACAAGAGCGGCUAGAGCAGUGUAAUUUAGACAACCAGGACUAGAGAUACCACAUCAAAUCUCUAGACACAUUAAAACAACCACGUUCUCUUGGCAUCUUGGUUCAUUUUCCUUCAUGUCACCAGUAACAGCUCUUGAUCAUAAUUAAGUAUGAAGUUGAACAUUAUUGACCAGUUCUUCCCAGAGGUCCCAGUCCUCUUUCAGUCCCCAGGCCGCGAGAAUGACAAUCAACUUCUGUGACACCAGAGCCAAUCUCAUCCAUCCAGCAGUGUCAGGUUGAGAUGGACUUUUGUGCUGUUCUUCUUUAUUUCGGAGUGUCUCCUCAUUUGCUCAAGUGAGGAAUGAAAAAUUCCUGCUUCCAGGCUGUGCUGACACGUUCACCCAUGGUGUUGUUCUGAGGAACAGGAUCAUCUGCAGCAGAAAAAGGAGGUCCACAGAGAUGAAGAGUGUGGUCUGUCAACACAAGCAUCCAGGCAGAAUCCCUAGAAACGUGGUCCUUGGGAGUUCUUGUCUCAGCCAUUUGAGAUGGAAGCUCUGGCUUCAGGUCUGGCAAGGAAUGCUUCCCGAGGGUCUCUUAGAUCCUGUCCUAAGACAAGACUGACCAUUGGGCCAAGACAUGGGUGCUCUUGACACAGAGCUCCAGCUCUGUGAGGAAUCAAGAUGCAGGCCCUCCCCCUCCCUCUGGGGGCCCAUCACUCUCUGCUCACACCCUGCAGCUAACUUCACAUCAAGGAUGAGUCGUCAGUGUGCUCCAAUUUAUCCACACUUCAUAUAAGCACUCCUAUGAGUCAAAGGAGCAGGAGUUGUACAGAAAUCCAUGAGCCAUUGAGUAUUACAUCUGAAGAAUUGCACACUCACUGAAACUUGAGCUGUGGAGUCCAUUCCAAUUUGUGUGUGAUUCCUAGCGCCACCGAAAGAGUUUGCUUAUCACCCAAGCAGAGGAAGGACCAUUCUCCUCCAUCAGUUUUUCUACUAAAUGAUCAUAAUGAAUCAUUCUCCAGACUCGAUUGAGUCACAUUUGCCCCAAGUUGUCACAGUUACACAUGAUCUUGAAUUCAAGUGCUACAGAGUCUCCAUUUCUCUCUAUUUAUCCUAGAAAUCUACCUAAAUUCAAGAAUGGUGCUUUCCUCAGAG
rnacentral:lncRNA from 1 species